ACCUCGGAUGGAAGUUGAUUUCUUUCUAUCGGGAGUCUACUGAAGACAAUAAGAAACAACUAAUAUAUCCACAAAUCUGAUAUUUUUCUGUCAAGUUCCCUAUGUUUCAAGUUCUGUUUCUGUCAAGUUUUUAUAGGCAGUGAUCUGGAAAAGCGGAAUCUGGGUUGGAUCCCAAUAGCUUGCAUCUGCUGCUGCCUGAUAUUUACCAAGAAGUCCCGUGGGGUGGAGUAAAUGGAAAGGCGGAGUUCUGGGUGGCAGGAGUCUGAAAGUCUAGAAAAGAUUAGAGGAUGGCGUUUUCUUCUCUUAAUCUACCCACUCAGCACUAGCGACUUUAUGGAAGCGAACCGGGAGGCCUCACUUCUCACUAUGAAUCACAUGGCAGGGGCUUAUUAAAACCCUGCUCAGAAAUGUCCUAUACUCCAUAUUUCAUCCAACCCCCAGGUGAACACAAUAGCUGUGUAGGUAAUUCCAGUUGACAGCAUGAGUUGGGAAUUACUGACAUGGAUUAUUGGCAAGGCAAGUUUUGAUUCUG